rnacentral:rRNA from 1 species
GGGAAUAUUGGACAAUGGGGGAAACCCUUAUCCAGCGACGCCGCGUGAGGGAAGAAGGUUUUCGGAUUGUAAACCUCUGUCAGUGGGGACGAUAAUGACGGUACCCACGGAGGAAGCCACGGCUAACUACGUGCCAGCAGCCGCGGUAAUACGUAGGGGGCAAGCGUUAUCCGGAUUUACUGGGUGUAAAGGGAGCGUAGACGGUGAUGCAAGUCAGAAGUGAAAGCCCGGGGCUCAACUCCGGGACUGCUUUUGAAACUGUGUAACUGGAGUGCAGGAGAGGUAAGCGGAAUUCCUAGUGUAGCGGUGAAAUGCGUAGAUAUUAGGAGGAACACCAGUGGCGAAGGCGGCUUACUGGACUGUAACUGACGUUGAGGCUCGAAAGCGUGGGGAGCAAACAGG